rnacentral:rRNA from 1 species
UACGAAGGGGGCGAGCGUUGUUCGGAUUUACUGGGCGUAAAGGGCGCGCAGGCGGCUUAUUUUGUCAGGCGUGAAAGCCCCGGGCUUAACCUGGGAACUGCGUUUGAUACGGAUGGGCUAGAGUUCGGGAGAGGAGAGUGGAAUUCCCAGUGUAGAGGUGAAAUUCGUAGAUAUUGGGAAGAACACCGGUGGCGAAGGCGGCUCUCUGGACCGAUACUGACGCUGAGGCGCGAAAGCUAGGGGAGCGAACAGG